rnacentral:rRNA from 1 species
AAGGUAUUGAAAUAAGAUUUUAAAUGAGUGCUAAGAGAAUGAUUAAACAAUUAAAAGCUUUCUUUAAUUAAAUAAUUGAAUUUAAUUUUUUAGUGCAAAAGCAAAAAUAAAAAUUAGGGACAAGAAGACCCUAUGAAUUUUUUAUUAAAUUUUAUAAAACUUUAUAUAAAAUUUAAUUUAAUUGGGGUGAUGGAAAAAGAAUAAGUAUCUUUUUUUUAAAGAAAAUUGGUUCCGUUUUUAGCGAUUAAAUGAAAAAAAUACUCUAGGGAUAACAGCGUAAAA